CCCAGACUCCUACGGGAGGCAGCAGUGAGGAAUAUUGGUCAAUGGCCGAGAGGCUGAACCAGCCAAGUCGCGUGAGGGAAGACGGCCCUACGGGUUGUAAACCUCUUUUGUCGGGGAGCAAAGCGAACCACGUGUGGUUCAUUGAGAGUACCCGAAGAAAAAGCAUCGGCUAACUCCGUGCCAGCAGCCGCGGUAAUACGGAGGAUGCGAGCGUUAUCCGGAUUUAUUGGGUUUAAAGGGUGCGCAGGCGGAGGUGCAAGUCAGCGGUCAAAUUGCGGGGCUCAACCCCCGAACUGCAUUUGAAACUGUUGGUCUUGAGUAUCGGAGAGGCAGGCGGAAUUCCUAGUGUAGCGGUGAAAUGCGUAGAUAUUAGGAGGAACACCAGUGGCGAAGGCGGCCUGCUGGACGACAACUGACGGUGAGGCGCGAAAGCGUGGGGAGCAAACAGGAUUAGAUACCCGCGUAUC
rnacentral:rRNA from 1 species